rnacentral:misc_RNA from 1 species
UUUCCGUAGGUGAACCUGCGGAAGGAUCAUUACUGAGUGGGGAACCUCUGAGUCCAACGUGCCACCAGUGUUUAUUGUACCUUGUGGCUUCGGUGCGCCCGCCUCACGGCCGCCGGGGGGCAUCUGCCCCCGGACCCGCGCUCGCCGAAGACACCCUUGAAUUAUGUCUAACGUUUGCCGUCUGAGCGAAAACUACAUAAGUUAAAACUUCAAACAACGGAUCUCUUGGUUUCGGCAUCGAUGACGAACGACGCAGAUCGGAAGCGCAUCCGUCUGACA